UACGGAGGAUGCAAGCGUUAUCCGGAAUGAUUGGGCGUAAAGCGUCCGCAGGUGGCUAUGUAAGUCUGCUGUUAAAAAGUCUAGCUCAACUAGAUAAGAGCAGUGGAAACUACAAGGCUAGAGUACGUUCGGGGCAGAGGGAAUUCCUGGUGUAGCGGUGAAAUGCGUAGAGAUCAGGAAGAACACCAGUGGCGAAGGCGCUCUGCUAGGCCGUAACUGACACUGAGGGACGAAAGCUAGGGGAGCGAAUGGG
rnacentral:rRNA from 1 species